rnacentral:rRNA from 1 species
GAUGAACGCUGGCGGCGUGCCUAACACAUGCAAGUCGAGCGAGAAGGUUAUGAAAGAUUCUUCGGAUGAUUGAUUAACUGGAAAGCGGCGGACGGGUGAGUAACGCGUGGGCAACCUGCCCUGUACAGAGGGAUAGCCACUGGAAACGGUGAUUAAUACCUCAUAUUACUGAAUUAUCGCAUGAUAGAUCAGUGAAAGCUCCGGCGGUACAGGAUGGGCCCGCGUCUGAUUAGCUAGUUGGUAAGGUAACGGCUUACCAAGGCGACGAUCAGUAGCCGACCUGAGAGGGUGAUCGGCCACACUGGAACUGAGACACGGUCCAG